GCUCCCCUCCGCUCCCCGCGCGCCUCGCCCGCCGCCGGCCGCCUGGCCCCGCGAGCGGUGGGACGGAGAGUCUGGGGCCCGGAGAGGGACGGUGCAGUAUCAGGGGAAGCAGCCACGAGCAACCUGGAAUUUCUAUCUUUAGACCGAACCGAAGGAGCAGGGCGCCGGACCCGGAGAAGAAGCGGCGACCUAUUUACUUCUCCUUGAAAAAAAGUCCUCCAAGAGUGCUGUGGCCACUGCAGCAUGGAGGAGUCUCUUGUCCACCUCACUCUGCAGGGGUCAUAGGAGUUUCACAAUUUAUUUGACAUCCGUUUGUGAAUGGGCAGACUGGGACUAGAACCUGUCCCUCUUGGAAUUCAGGAAACCUUUACAGCGAUCAAGGGCUGCAGACAAGAAAGAACAGCAAGCACUCCAGACAGAGGUUCACCUUGAGAAAAGAGUAGACUGUCCUAGUGACCCGGUGACGUACCUGUGCUGCUGGGAUGAGGGUCAGCUACGUGAGGCUGAACAAAAAAGAACCGUCUCCUUGGCACCCAAGAAUAGGUCUUUACCGAUUGGUAAACUAAGCCAAACCUCAGAGGGCUGGUCUAGCUUUGAAGACUGGCAAAGAAGAAUGGGACUCUGAUUAAUAUUGAUUUUAUUUCAGUUUACCCCUGAAAAGGCAAGCAAGCGGGGCAAAGGGAUUCACUAGAUCAGAGGUUCUCCAAGUGUCGUCCCUGGCCCAGGAGCAUGGGCACCGCCUAGGAACUUGUUAUAAAUACAGGUUCUCAGGCCCCACCCUAGACCUCCUGAAUCAUAAAUUCCCAUGCCAAGGACCAGCAGUCUGAGUUUGAACAAGGCCUGCCUGUGAUUCAUCCGCUCACUGAAAUUUGAGGACCACUGCUGUGGAGCUUGCCCAGAGCUCUCUUCAUGGUGAACCUGGGAUUCUCUGGUUCAGGCUGAAGGUGCCCCGGGCUGCAUACUCUCUGCAUCUCAUACCAUCUGGGUGGAGAACGGGCCACGCUGGCACUCAGUGGAGUAAUUACUUCCAUAAACAGCAAUUCCUGCUGCCCCAUAGUUAUAAAGCUCGGUGUCUGUCCUGCUUCUUACUGCAUUAGGAGGCGUGCAGUGGACGUGGCCAAAUGUUAACAAAAUUUUGGCUUCCUGUCUAUCUGAAAAAUGGCACCUUAUCCCUAUUUAAUAUUAAUUUCUUUAAUUAUAAGUGAAAUGAGAUGAGCAUCUUUUCAUUUUAUGGGCCAUUGCACUUUUUUCCGCUUUACUGUUACCUUUUUAUGUUCUUGGCCGUAUUUUCUACUGACUGGUUGUCUCUUAAUGAACUUGUAAGAGCAAUUUUAAUUUUAAAGAAAUUUGUCUUUGUCAUUGUGUUGCCAGUUUUUUUUCACCCAAUUUGUCACUUGAACUCAGUAAAUUUUUGCAUCACAGAUAGUUAAAGUUUUCAUGCACAUUAGUUUGUAUUUUUCUGAAUGUUGAAUUUUAUAUAAGCUUAGGUGCAUCUUCCCAACCCUAAGAUAAUUAAAAAAUACUCACAUCUUACUCUAAAUUGUAUGGUUUCAUUUUCAGCAUAUUCAUCUUUGAUGUAAACAGAACUUAUUGUUACUUAAGGAGUAAAGUAUACACGUAAGCAUAUUUCCCUAAAGCUUAAAAGUUAUUCCAGUUUCAUUUAUUAAUUUGUCUUAUCUCCAAUGAUUUAAAGUAGCUUAUUAAUCAUAUUCAAAAUCAGAAUGUAUAC